AUCCAUAUACGUAUUUAAUCUAUAUUACCAAUUAAUGACGGCAACAUUGCAUUCCAACAAUUGGCAACAUUGUAAUUUAAGCAGAACAUUUAUUCAGUUAACAAGUAGAUACAGAUCAGUUCAGUAUACUUGCUUCUCUGAAUUCAGUAAAAGUAAAGUAACAAUAAAGUAAAUUUGGUCGGGUAAAAUAGACUUUAUCCUAUCCCUUUAGAUCACACAGCAAAAUGACGUCUAGAAUGGUUUUGUUAUGCUUGCCUCUUUUACUUGCUGCGCUGUCACCUUGCCUGGUUGAAGGAGCCUGGGAAGACUGGAACACGGGAUCUGGUGGUGUCAAAUGGCUGCUCGAUUGCGAUUUUCCUGGUUACAACAUUGGCAAUCGACGAAGUGCUGGAGAAGAUUGUGGUCGCCUCUGCAUGGAAUAUCAUAAUUGCAAUCAUUUUAGUCACUUUGAUGGAAUUUGUUACAUGAAAAACGUACCGAUAGAGGUUCCCCGUUCCCCGGCUUACGGUGGGGUGUGCGGAUUCCUUCCAUUUCGGUUCGAUCGUGCGGUUGGAUCCAUCGUCAAGACAUUACUGUUUCAAUAAAGACUAAAGCUAUAAGCUAAGAUGCUUGCGUAACAUUUAGCGAUUUCUUACGUGUAAUUUAAUAUUCAUAUAAUAAACGUAGUUCAAACGA